rnacentral:misc_RNA from 1 species
UAAAACCCUACCUUCUUCUUUCUCUUCUUACCAUACACAUUCUCAGUGACCUUUCUUUCUUUCUUCUUAUCACUUCAUUGCUUUCUUGAUUUGCCUCCCUUCUCAUUUAGCCUCAAAAAUGUCUGAGAGAACUAGCCGCCACCAGAGAAGGCCUUCACAGAGUGUGAUCCUUUCCUUUUCUGGUGAGGAUCUCUCUGCGCUACCUCUCUCCGACGUUUCUGGAGACAAGUUUGCAACACCUUCAAAUCAGCCCCGACCACCGCCGCAGCAGAUUCGUUCCCCACUGCCUCCUGUUGCUGCAGCAACACCUGCGCCAGAGAUGGUGGCAAAAGAUGAUAAGAAAGUGACAGAUGUGGCACAUUAAUAGUGUUUAUUGCUGCCAAUCUCAAUUGGGUAUCAUCUGUUUAGAGUUUAUGAGUAGUUGUGUUGUUAGAAUCCUUGAUGGGAAUUAAAGGGUCGUCGUCUCUUCUUCUUUAGCUUCAAUCAUUUUGUUUGGUUGAUGUGUUUGGUUUUUGUUGUUGUUUUAUAUUCUUUAAGCUGAAUGGUUAUGAGUUGAAAAGCACUUUCUUAUACUUUCAUGGGGAUCACUUUCUUAGAUACUUUUGUUAGUAUUUUGAUUAUUAAGAGAUGAAGAAACUAAAAUUGCAACUCUAUUUUAUGGAAAUAAGAUGAGAAAUUAUAUGUUUUUG